rnacentral:rRNA from 1 species
AUGAACGCUAGCGACAGGCCUAACACAUGCAAGUCGAGGGGCAGCAUGGUAUCAGCUUGCUGAUACCGAUGGCGACCGGCGCACGGGUGAGUAACGCGUAUGUAAUCUGCCUGUAACAGAGGGAUAACCCGGAGAAAUCCGGCCUAAUACCUCAUAGCACAUAUUAUUCGCAUGAGUUUUAUGUUAAAGAGACUCGGUUACAGAUGAACAUGCGUUCCAUUAGCUGGUUGGCGGGGUAACGGCCCACCAAGGCAACGAUGGAUAGGGGUUCUGAGAGGAAGGUCCCCCACACUGGUACUGAGACACGGACCAGACUCCUACGGGAGGCAGCAGUGAGGAAUAUUGGUCAAUGGGCGAGAGCCUGAACCAGCCAAGUCGCGUGGAGGAAGACUGCCCUACGGGUUGUAAACUCCUUUUACCUGGGAAUAACGGGCGCUACGCGUAGCGCUGUGCAUGUACCGGGAGAAUAAGCAUCGGCUAAUUCCGUG